rnacentral:rRNA from 1 species
UACGGGGGGAGCAAGCGUUGUUCGGAUUUACUGGGCGUAAAGGGCGCGUAGGCGGUCAGCACAAGUCAGUUGUGAAAUCUCCGGGCUUAACUCGGAAAGGUCAACUGAUACUGUGCGACUAGAGUGCAGAAGGGGGCAACUGGAAUUCUCGGUGUAGCGGUGAAAUCCGUAGAUAUCGAGAGGAACACCUGCGGCGAAGGCGGGUUGCUGGGCUGACACUGACGCUGAUGCGCGAAAGCCAGGGGAGCGAACGGG